rnacentral:rRNA from 1 species
CGGAGGAAAAGAAACCAACAGGGAUUGCCUCAGUAACGGCGAGUGAAGCGGCAAGAGCUCAAAUUUGAAAUCUGGCUCCUUCGGGGUCCGAGUUGUAAUUUGUAGAGGAUGCUUCGGGUGCGGCCCCCGUCUAAGUGCUCUGGAACGGGCCAUCGGAGAGGGUGAAAAUCCCGUCUGGGAUGGGGUGUCCGCGUCCAUGUGAAGCUCCUUCGACGAGUCGAGUUGUUUGGGAAUGCAGCUCUAAAUGGGUGGUAAAUUUCAUCUAAAGCUAAAUACUGGCCGGAGACCGAUAGCGCACAAGUAGAGUGAUCGAAAGAUGAAAAGCACUUUGAAAAGAGAGUUAAACAGCACGUGAAAUUGUUGAAAGGGAAGCGCUUGCGACCAGACUCGCUUCCGGGGUUCAGCCGGCUUUCGGGCCGGUGUACUUCCCCGGGGGCGGGCCAGCGUCGGUUUGGGCGGCCGGUCAAAGGCCCCUGGAAUGUAACGCCUCUCGGGGCGCCUUAUAGUCAGGGGUGUCAUGCGGCCAGCCUGGACCGAGGAACGCGCUUCGGCACGGACGCUGGCAUAAUGGUCGUAAACGACCCGUCUUGAAACACGGACCAAGGAGUCUAACAUCUACGCGAGUGUUCGGGUGUCAAACCCGUGCGCGCAGUGAAAGCGAACGGAGGUGGGAGCCCCCUCGAGGGGCGCACCAUCGACCGAUCCUGAUGUCUUCGGAUGGAUUUGAGUAAGAGCGUAGCUGUGGGGACCCGAAAGAUGGUGAACUAUGCCUGAAUAGGGCGAAGCCAGAGGAAACUCUGGUGGAGGCUCGCAGCGGUUCUGACGUGCAAAUCGAUCGUCAAAUUUGGGUAUAGGGGCGAAAGACUAAUCGAA